rfam:Tupaia chinensis contig103220, whole genome shotgun sequence.
UGGCAAGAGCACACACUCUCUAGCAAAAAAAAAAAAAAAAAACUCAGAGCUGCAAUCUUACAGUAAAGGUUGAGUCAUAGUACAUUUCUCUUACAUUA